GUGGUUUUGAGACAACUUCAAUAAGAAGUGGCUGACAGCGUAAAAAAAUUAACGAUGUUAGAGUCUCCACUGGAAGGUACAUCAUGUUGUCACAUUAAUUUGGAUGAGACACAGGCCUCAAAGAAGAAAUUAUUUCAAGUGGAAAGUCAACUAUAAGAAACUCCUGGAAAUGACAAUAAAUAUGUUAAGUGUAUUUGGAAAUGAAGACUUCGAUUGCCAUGGAGACUUAAAAACAGAUCAACUGAAAAUGAAUAUUCUGAUUAAGAAGCUAAAACAUAAGUUUGAUGAUCUUACAGCAGAGAAGGAAGCUGUAUCUUCAAAAUGUGUCAAUUUGGCUAAAGACAAUCAAGUUCUUCAACAGGAGUUAUUAUCGAUGAAAAAAGUACAACAGGAAUGUGAAAAACUUGAGGAGGAUAAAAAGAUGUUGGAAGAAGAAAUAUUAAAUCUUAAGACACAUAUGGAAAACAAUAUGGUAGAACUUAGUAAACUACAAGAAUAUAAAUCAGAGCUAGAUGAAAGGGCAAUGCAGGCAGUAGAAAAAUUAGAAGAAAUCCAUUUACAGAAACAAGCACAAUAUGAAAAACAAUUAGAGCAGUUAAACAAGGAUAAUACGGCUUCACUAAAUAAGAAGGAACUCACACUUAAAGAUGUGGAAUGUAAAUUUUCCAAAAUGAAAACUACUUAUGAAGAGGUUACAAACAAAUUAGAAGAAUAUAAGGAAGCCUUUGCAGCAGCAUUGAAAGCUAACAAUUCCAUGUCAAAAAAAUUAACGAAAUCUAAUAAGAAAAUAGCAAUGAUCAGCACCAAGCUCCUUAUGGAGAAAGAGCGGGUGAAAUAUUUUCUCAGCACUCUUCCUACAAGGCGAGGCCCAGAGUUACCUUGUGUUGAAAAUCUUACUAGUAUAGGACUCAACAGAAAAUAUAUUCCCCAAAUGCCCAUAAGAAUUCCUACUUCAAACCCUCAGACCUCAAAUAACUGCAAGAACUACUUGACUGAGAUGGAGCUGGACUGUGUAGAACAAAUAAUUAGAGAAACAAAGAGAACUGUUGCUGUGUUGGACACUUGCUCCCAUCUAUUUUCUUCUCUAGAAUCCACUGCCCUGGAAUGAGUAAUUUUUUUUAGAAGGAGAGGUGGAGCCACUGAGGAAGCACAGGUGAGCCCUCCCCAGUGUGUACUCACUGGUCCCCAACAGAAGAACAGCUGCCGUAUCCACUGAGGUACCAAGAAACUAGCAAAGGGCCUUCUGGCUGUCUGGGGACAGUCCUCAUGUGGUCCCUGGCUUGGCCUCAGAGGUUCUGGAUUAGUCUUCCUGUAGCCUCUGUGCUGUGUCUUUAGAUCAGGGCUCUGUGGGAAGGGCCCUGGGAGACCCAACAGCACAGUGUGUCUCAUCUGGCAAAUGUCCCUCCCUUCCUAACACUCUGACACUCAGGAAUAGGGUAGAUGGCGUGUCCAGGCAGUGCCAGGCCACCUCACUGUCUCCUUUGAGAUGGGCCCAGAGGGCCUUUGGGGUGAGUGUGGAGCUGGGAACCUGGAGCCUGAGGCCGACUGUCUCUCCCUGUGUCUUGGAGGAAAGGCCAUUUCCCAAAAAAAACCCCAGGGCCUGACCUCUGGGCACACAUGCAGGGAGGGAGGGUCUGUGAGCUGAGGGGGACGUUGUAAUAAGACUUUGAGCAUGACUGCUCAGGGGCCUGGUCAGUGGACCAUGGUCAGAGGUGACCUGGUCAUCAGGACCUAGUCAUUUGGGACCUCAUCAGCAGGUGCCUGGUUAGUGGUGGGCUCCUCAGUAAAGGCCUCAUCAGUGGGGACCUGGUGACCUAGUCAUUGGAAGCCUGGUCAGUGGGGGGACCUAGUCAGUGGUGGCCUUAUUAGUGGGGCCUGAUUGGUUGGAACAUAAACAAUGAAAAACUGGUUGGUGGGGCAUAUACAGUAUACCAGGGGCCUGGUCAGUGUGGGGCCUUGGUGGCUUGGAGCCUGGUCAGUGAGGGCCUGGUCAGAGGUGGCUUGGUCAGCUGGGGUCUCAUCUAUGGAGAAUUGUUCAGUGGGGGGUCGGGUUAGCAGCAACCUGGUAAAUAGUGGUCUUGUCAGUGGGAACCCGGUCUUGUCACUGGGGACCAGGUCAGUGGAAAAUUGGUCAGUGGAGUCUGGCCCAUGAGGCCUAUUAAGUGCGGGCCUGGUUAGGAAGACAUGGUCAGUGGGGACUUGAUCAGUGGGACCUGGUCAGUGGAGGAGUGGUCAUUAGGGGCCUCAUCACUGGGAACCUGGUCAGCGGCGGUUGGUCAGUACCUGGCCCGCUGGCCACUGUGUGACCUCAGGUAGGGGGUUUGUCUGUGGAGCCUCAUGUCCAUCUGCAGGGAAGGUGAGUCACGGCACCCUGGAGGGUGGCUGGAAAGAGAAGGUGAGAAGAUGUGUUGAAUCCAAUACUGCUUGGCAGACCUACAACUUUACAAAUGACCUGUGUUCCACCUAGAGAGGGUGCCAGCCCUCUCAGCAUUAUGCAGUGCCCCUCCUUUGUCUGCAUCCCCAGGACCACCAUGGGUGGGGAGGGCAGAGAUUGGGGAGCACCUAUAGAGGCUCUAAUGCUCUAAGGUGACAGUGAUGAGGACCUGGGUGCACCCAUGAGUGGAGAAGCUAGGCCUGUCCAGAGAAGCAAGACAAACACACACAUAUGUGCACACACACACACACACACACAGGCAAACAUGCAUACACAAACACUUUGCAUGCACACAUGUCAGUUCAGGGGAUACAGGACACUGACUCUGGGCCCUGUUGACCCAGGCAGGCUUCCAUUGUGGUGGGUUGUGUCACCCCACAAUGUCACUGUUGCUGAGUCCCCAUCGCCUCUGUGUUGUGGAGCAGUUAGAGACACACAGCAGUGUCUGUGAGUGGCUCUGUGUGAAGGACCAUUUUCUAGAUGAGAGGCACAUCUCAACACAGCUCACUGAUCAGACUCAGCAAUUCCAUUCUGCAUCUUUUCUGAUCACCCCCGUGACCACCCAGGACAACCCCAUCAGGGCCCUGUCACCAGGCCCAGUCCAGCUCCAUGAUAACCAAGACACAGGUCCAGAGACAACCGUCCUGCAUCAUGCCUGCAUCUGAACCCCCUUGG